UGAGGAAUCUUGGACAAUGGGGGCAACCCUGAUCCAGCAAUGCCACGUGUGUGAAGAAGGCCCUAGGGUUGUAAAGCACUUUCAAUCUGGAGGAAGUUUAACUGAUUAAGAGUUGGUUAAAUUGACGUUACAGAUAGAAGAAGCACCGGCUAACUCCGUGCCAGCAGCCGCGGUAAUACGGAGGGUGCGAGCGUUAAUCGGAAUCACUGGGCGUAAAGGGUUCGUAGGCGGUUAGAUAAGUCAGAUGUGAAAGCCCAGGGCUCAACCUUGGAAUUGCAUUUGAUACUGUCUAACUAGAGUAUAGUAGAGGAGAGGAGAAUUUCCGGUGUAGCGGUGAAAUGCGUAGAGAUCGGGAAGAAUACCAGUGGCGAAGGCGACUCUCUGGACUAAUACUGACGCUGAUGGACGAAAGCAUGGGUAGCAAACA
rnacentral:rRNA from 1 species